rnacentral:lncRNA from 1 species
AUACUGUCUGUGUGCGCAUGCGCGCAGUAUUAUGAAAUUUUACUCUCAAUCGCGCAUAAAGAAGUAUACCUUCAAAAAAAUUGUUUGAGUU